rnacentral:rRNA from 1 species
UACGUAGGGGGCUAGCGUUGUCCGGAAUCAUUGGGCGUAAAGCGCGUGUAGGCGGUCCGGUAAGUCCGCUGUGAAAGUCGAGGGCUCAACCCUCGAAUGCCGGUGGAUACUGUCGGGCUUGAGUACGGGAGAGGCGAGUGGAAUUCCUGGUGUAGCGGUGAAAUGCGUAGAUAUCAGGAGGAACACCGGCGGUGUAGACGGCUUUCUGGACCGUAGCUGACGCUGAGACACGAAAGCGUGGGUAGCAAACAGG